CAGCAGCCACGGUAAUACAUAGGUCCCGAGCGUUGUCCGGAUUUAUUGGGCGUAAAGCGAGCGCAGGCGGUUAGAUAAGUCUGAAGUUAAAGGCUGUGGCUUAACCAUAGUACGCUUUGGAAACUGUUUAACUUGAGUGCAAGAGGGGAGAGUGGAAUUCCAUGUGUAGCGGUGAAAUGCGUAGAUAUAUGGAGGAACACCGGUGGCGAAAGCGGCUCUCUGGCUUGUAACUGACGCUGAGGCUCGAAAGCGUGGGGAGCAAACAGGAUUAGAUACCCCUGUAGUCCCUGUCUCUUAUACA
rnacentral:rRNA from 1 species